UGGAGCUACAGUACGUGGUGAAGAAAUAUGUGUGUAAACAGGGCAAGACACAACAGGACGGGAUGAGAACAGAAGAAAAUACUCACUUCCACAUUAAGCUGGGCGGCAGACCGACAUGACCCACCACUUCUGAGCUUUCGAGUGUUGUGAUCCACGGCUCCAUCUAAGAACUGAACCCAGGUCAGCUGUGAUUCCCCGCACACGUGACUGGACCUGGAGGAUUGUGAAAAGGAUCAACGAAGACAAAGGAGAUUGAUGACUUGUCAGAUUUACAGAGACACCACCCACAUGUUUCUCAACCCUCCUCGAACACACCCUCCAACUUUCUCUGAGGACGUCUGACCUUUCCCGCCUUCACUGCUGAUUCCAGGAAACUUAACUCAGCAUCAGUCGGACUCCUUCAUGAUUAGUCACAUGAUUCAGUGGGUGAAUCUUACCUGAUGAUCUCCAGAACUUUCUUUAACAGUGCUGCCAGUUUAGACACCUGUAGGUAAAAAAAACAGACAAACAUCUUUUUGUAUUCAUUUAAACUUUUUAUAUAUAUAUUUUUUUCAGGCUGGGUGAGCUGCUAUUAAAAAAGUCGCUUUACAACCCAAAUGAUCACAUUCUGUUUUAUUUAUUUAUUUAAUACAUCGUCCCAACUUCUUGGGGUUGUAAGUUUGCAGAUUGUGUUGAAACUGACAAGCUGGGACGUGUAAAUAAAUUACUCGCAAGUGCAGCUGGCACAAUCGCUUCAUAUCAUUUCACUACUGAACACAACCUGUUCUGAUGUUUGGCUCUAAUUCAGUAAAGAGUUUUAACGCCGGUUGGGCUUCUGUUGGAAAAGGACACAGAGGAAGAUCACUAAGAGCUGCUGAUCCGAAUCAGCUGAUAUCUGGAAAUCAGUGUUAAAGUCCCAUAACAGACGCAGGGGUGUAAACAGGGCGUGAACAGUCGCUGUAAAAACAGUGGAGAGUGUUUUCUUUGGAUGACCCUGAGCAAUGAGGACAGUUUCUGGAACGUCCAACACAAGUCAAAAGCGGAUUGUUUUCAUCUGACCAUUAAUGCAAAUCCUAAAGUUCAUGUCAAACAUAGAAAAGCAGCAAAUCCUCACGCUUGAGAUCAAUUAUCAGCUGGCACAACAUCAUCGAUGCGUCCACAGAGCAGCUGCAGAGUGUGUGUUCAGUAGCGUUGGCGGGUAAUGCAUUACAAAAGUAACUUGUUACAGUAAUAUAUUACUUUUCUGCAAUAACAGUGUGUUUUGAACAUGAACACAUGUUACAAACACUGUUGUACGCACACUACUGUUUCAGCGUAACUUUUGCAUUUUGGAACAUAAAACAGGAAACAAACU